GCCGCCUGACACGGGGGGGCCGCGCCGGCCCGUACCUUCCCCCGGGCAGCGUAGCGCUGCCCCGCGGCGGAGCCGGGGGGCACCCACUCUGCCCGUCCCGGGUCGUCCCGCCCCUCCGCUCCGGAAUUACCCCCAGUGGUUUCCUUAUUACCAAAGGCUUAAAAAACCCCACAGGGGGUUAGCAAGGACGCGCAGAAAGCUGGAGUGGUUUUGCCGGCUGUGUCGGAUGCGUGUUGUAACCGCCAGUGAACCCGAGCUGAGGGGACAGCGGCUCUCCCGACGUGCGGACUGUGCGGGGACAGCGAAACCCGCCCCGGGAAGGGGCUGCGGCGACAGCCUCACCUGGGCAGGUGCGGCGGCAGCCUGCGGGGUGCUGAGCCCGGCACCUCUGGGUGCAUCCCGGAGGUUCUGGGGCUGAUCCCGGCACCAUUGGGCACAUCCCUGGAGCACUGGGGCCGAGCCCAGCACCGCCGGGUGCACCCGCAGUGCCCUUGGGCUGCCCUGCUGGUCUGUGGAGGAGACACUUCCCUUUCCUGCAGAGGUUGUCUGUCCACAUCCAAAAGCCUGUCCUCAGGGUCAGGCUGUGCACACAAACACGCUUGUGGGGUGUUACCGACCUAUGGGGCAUUAACACCGAUCAGUUUAAAGUUGACACCUAAUUAUAACGUUCUUCUGCGUUUUAAACACCAAGCCUCAUUCUCAAGCUUUCUAAUAAAAGGCAACCAUUAUCACACUUAUUGUCAAACAUGCACUGAGUUUUUCAGGUGCUUGAUUAUGGAAUCUGGAAGAGACUGGAUAAUACUCAAACCUCAGGACAAAAGUUACAAGAACUGGUAAUGCUGGGGGGGGGGGAAAUCCUGUCUUUUAAAGCAAGGAUUUAAGCAGCAUCUGAGUGGGCCUUACUGUAUCUCUUCCCUUCCACAGAGUUGGUGAUUGAAUUAUCAGUGCGAAGUGGGGCAGGCGAGGGGAUACAUUCCUUGUGAAAAUCUUUUACAACUGCAAAAUCAACACAUCAGCGUUUAUGGGACAAUCUGCAGCUCACACGCCCUGGGAGGGCAUCGACCGACCUCUGUCCCCUAAAACCUAAGCUUAUAUGGAAGUCAUCCUGAUAGUAGUUCUAUUUUCACAAACUCUUAUCAAAGAACUUUUCUCCUUGCUUGAUGCAAAUGGAGGAAAGGAAAGAAGAGAAGGGAAGGGGAAAAGCCGCUUUCCUGCUUGGGGUUAGUUUCCUGUGCCCUGGGAAAGCACGGACAGCAGCUUUGUCUGCCUGGGUUUGGUCACCAGGUCAUCAGCCUGAGGGGCUCCCAGCUGUAAAAGGUUGGGGUGUCCUGUGCUCUCUCAAGGACAAGGGAAACUCUUGUCCUCUGCUGAUUUUAAUUCCCCAGCGUCUUCGUUUCCCUUGGCAGGUUGUCCGUGACCACAGACACCAGCCAGCCCAGGGGCAGGUCCCAGCAGUGCUGUGCUUGAUGGCUGAUGGUGCACAGGUGGCUUAACAGCUGCUUUUCCACUGCUCUGACACUGCUGGAAUGCCUGUGACCUUACCAAGGCCCUUAGCUCACAGAGGCCCAGAGUCCCCUGCUGAGGAGCAGUGGUAAGUCAGGGUUUGCCAAAUCUCGGGCGGUGUUGGUGGUUGCAUCUUCGGCUUUGCCAGGCCCAGAGCCAGGCAUGGCAAGGCUCCCUUGGAGCUCAGAGGGUUUAAAGAACAGGGCUUUGAAAUUCACACUGGAUCAGCUGCUAGUGGGCUAGAAGGUGCUCUAAAAAUAAAGCAAUAAGGUCCAGAAGCCUGAGGUUGAAGUGAUUGGCACUGCUUUUCAGUUACCAGCUGACAGAGCAAACACCACCCUGGCUAAGAAACCAGUUAAUUCCAAACUGAUUGCCAAGAGCAUGGGGGCUGGAAAUGCAGAGUAAAGCUCACCCAUCCAGACCUGUCCCACUGCCUUAUCCUAAGGGACACCAGCUGCUUAGAAGAAAAACACGAUCCCAGGUCUUACACUCUGGAAAUUAUCCCCAGUCAUUUCAUCAUUACCAAAGGCUUAAGAAACCAGAAGCAGUUAGCAAGGACAGACAGAAAGCUGGAGUGGUUUUGCCGACUGUGUGGAUUCGUGUUGUAACCACUAAUUGCCCGGGAAGCCACGGAACAGGCUCGGCAGCAGAGCGUGAGGCGAGUGGGAAGAAGAGCCACAGUCUGGCUGCCUUCACAGUGCUCUCCAAAGCUCUCUUGGAUCUUGUCACCACUGGACAAGAAACACCUUUCAUGAAAUUAAAAGAAGAGAAAGAGCCUGACAGCACAAUUCUUUGUGAAAGGAGCCCUUUGAAACUUCUCCUUAAAAUAAAGCUUCAGAAGAAACCUGGAGUUUAUGUAGCACAGUGCUGGGGUGGGGAGA